UUAGCCCUAAACACAAAUAAUUAUAAAAACAAAAUUAUUCGCCAGAGUACUACCGGCAACAGCCUAAAACUCAAAGGACUUGGCGGUGCUUUAUACCCUUCUAGAGGAGCCUGUUCUAUAAUCGAUAAACCCCGAUAGACCUCACCAAUUCUUGCUAAUUCAGUCUAUAUACCGCCAUCUUCAGCAAACCCUAAAAAGGAAUAAAAGUAAGCAUAAUCACAACACAUAAAAACGUUAGGUCAAGGUGUAACCUAUGAAAUGGGAAGAAAUGGGCUACAUUUUCUACCACAAGAAAAUCACACGAAAGUUAUUAUGAAACUAAUAACCAAAGGAGGAUUUAGUAGUAAACUAAGAA
rnacentral:rRNA from 1 species